CAGGCCUUCGGCUCAAAAGGACUCUGAUAUGGAAUGCGAUUGAUCAGCCAUCAAUGGACAGUAGUGCUGAGCUGUCGACAGAAACUGUCAGUUAUCAUUUGCAGCCUCUUGACAGGCCUUCGGCUCAAAAGGACUCUGAUAUGGAAUGCGAUUGAUCAGCCAUCAAUGGACAGUAGUGCUGAGCUGUCGACAGAAA